AGAGUUUGAUCCUGGCUCAGGAUGAACGCUAGCUACAGGCUUAACACAUGCAAGUCGAGGGGCAUCAGUUUGGUUUGCUUGCAAACCAAAGCUGGCGACCGGCGCACGGGUGAGUAACACGUAUCCAACCUGCCUCAUACUCGGGGAUAGCCUUUCGAAAGAAAGAUUAAUAUCCGAUAGCAUAUAUUUCCCGCAUGGGUUUUAUAUUAAAGAAAUUCGGUAUGAGAUGGGGAUGCGUUCCAUUAGUUGUUGGCGGGGUAACGGCCACCAAGACUACGAUGGAUAGGGGUUCUGAGAGGGAAGGUCCCCCANAUUGGAACCUGAGACACGGUCCAAACUCCUACGGGAGCA
rnacentral:rRNA from 1 species